UUUCACCGCUUGUGAAAUAUUACAGAGGCCCACUGCUGAGCUGUCUUUGGAGGGGCCUUGAGAAACUGUGAUGGAGAUGAUGCCAGAGCUGAUUUAAGCUCCUCAGCGGACAGAACUUGGACUGGAGUUUCAAGCCGAAGCACGAACAGAUUCUGCCCUGGCGAGAGCCGCUGUAUUUAAAUACUCUCUAAAUUACUGUGUGUGUGUCUGCGGACGGCUGCUUGAGAUUCAUUUAUCCUACUUACAGCACAUAUGUUUAGAGGGAAGGAUUUUCUUGCAAACUCAUGAGAGGUGAACAGAGACAUUCAUACAGAUGCAAAGAUUUUCACCGUGAUGAGCAGCAUGGUUUGCAGAGGAACAGAUUGAUUUAUUCUUCUGGAGAAAUACGAUUAACAGGAAACUGCGGGAUAUUUCAUGAAGUCAAAACAAACACGAUACCGACGGUAAUAGGCCAACACAAUUUUGUUCAUGUUUUAAGAAAGGGUGUGACAUUAGCUUUUGUUUGGUAUUUUAUAAACUGUGGAUGUGCUUUAGAAAUAUUCAUGAUUUAUCAAAGCUAGACUGUUACAUGCAUGUUUGCAUCAAUCUUGUGAUGUCAAUGUAAAAACCCACCCAUCCAUCAUGUGACAGACUAUCAGACCCAAACACUUCUGUUGUUGCCAGUAUUUAGUAUAUAAAAAAUUCAUAGUAUUUUUGAAAUUCAGAUUAAAAUACAUUGCAGUUUAUCAAAUCACUAGUUCAGACUAUUGUAAUAUUACAAAGUGUUAAGUAUAGUUUACUACAUUUUACUAUAGUAAAAACUAAAGCAUACUACAGUUUUUUUCCAUUAAUGCACCUGAAUUCAUGUUUCAGUUCCUGUUAAUUAUUUAAUAUCAAAUCUUAAGAGCUUAAAUUUUUCUUUGUUAAACACUCAUAAAAACUUUGCAAAAACAUCAAGUCUCAUGAACAAAACGUUCUGGUUUAUAUUUGGAUUAUUUAAGCUUUGAGUGUUUUGAAUUAGACGAAAUUAAUAACUCGUUUUAAUGUCAUCUUUCUGAAGAACACAUUUAUCCAUAUUUUUUAACUCUAUAUUGGACUAGGCCUAAAUGUAUUUUUUAAAGGUAUUUAUUGCAAGGUUAACAGAUAAUUAAUGAAGACAAAUUGAAUGCGCAUAUCACUCAUAUUUCGUUUCUGAACCAUGAAGUCAAAUAAUGUCAAAUUGGCAAUAAAUAAAUGUCAAAUACAAAAUCAGACUCGAUGGAGUAGUUCUUUUAAUGGACGUUUUUUUCCCUGAGUUGUACAGUAAAAACGUUCUUAAACGUUUUAAAAGCAAGUUUUUCUAAACUAUAAUUCAAGUA